GGAGCCAAUGCUCAGCUGUAGGGCAUCUGCCUUGCAUGCAGAAGGCCCCAGGCUCCAUCCCUGGUGUCUCCA